UAUUUUAAAGUCUGCUAAGGUGCCCUCUCUACUUUAACAUGGAGGCACUUGCUGUGCCAUGAUAAAAAUAAGUGCUUCCAUGUUUGAGUGUGGUGGUUCCUACUAGCUUCAACUGUUAAUC
rnacentral:precursor_RNA from 14 species